GGGAGCCCUAGCACAGGUGCUGCAUGGCCGUCGUCAGCUCGUGCCGUGAGGUGUUGGGUUAAGUCCCGCAACGAGCGCAACCCCCGCCGUUAGUUGCCAGCGGUUCGGCCGGGCACUCUAACGGGACUGCCCGCGAAAGCGGGAGGAAGGAGGGGACGACGUCUGGUCAGCAUGGCCCUUACGGCCUGGGCGACACACGUGCUACAAUGCCCACUACAAAGCGAGGCCACCCGGCAACGGGGAGCUAAUCGCAAAAAGGUGGGCCCAGUUCGGAUUGGGGUCUGCAACCCGACCCCAUGAAGCCGGAAUCGCUAGUAAUCGCGGAUCAGCCAUGCCGCGGUGAAUACGUUCCCGGGCCUU
rnacentral:rRNA from 1 species